CCCGAAGAGUAGCCACGCAAGGCUGCGCUUCGUUAACCUCGGGCGUGGGACGGCAUAUUUUCGUGCAAUUCGUGAAAAGGCAUUCAAUUAAAGUGGAUCUCGAUUAAUACGAACCCCCUUAUUAUAUUACCAACAUUUUAUUUAUUGUUUUCACAUUUGGACAUGGCCGAAGGAGUUCAAUCCCGCAUUGAUUACGAACGCGUAAUAAUGAGUAACGACGUUUCGUCCGUAUAAAAUACAGGCCGUCUUUACUAGCCUGCCAUCAUUUGUGAUUUCUUGCCGGCAGUGGUAUUUGGUAGACCGAUCUGACACAGAGAGCAGCUCCGGAAAUGGAUUUCAAGGCUAUUUUGGGGGUUUGUUUGGCCGUCCUGGCAAUUCUCGUUGCAUCGUCUUCAGCCGAAGAGAAUUCACAAGACGAGAUUGAAGAAUACCUGAACACAUCAAUGAGCACUGCCGACAAGAGAGGAACUGGAAACCAGAGAUUUAAACCCUGCAGGCAUCCACUAUACAAGAGUAGGGUACGCUGUCGGUGUGACGUCACAAAAAGUGUUCGAGACAGAAGAUACAUGCGGUGUGUCAAAGUGAAACGCUUUUCUGAGGAAUAAGAGCCUUUGAGCAGGGAACAACUUGGAUGUUUUUGUCAGUGAAAUGAGCGGGAACUGUCUCGACUGGGGAUAGUUUCAGCUACCAAAAGAUUCUGCUUACCAAACUGCGCUCAAUGCAGUUCAAUGAAAAGAAAGCCUGAUGAAAAACUUGAAAAGGGACGUGUACGUUAAUAUACCGUUGCCGUCCAUGAAGCUUAGUUGCCUGUAGUUCUUUAAGUUUUGGUAUUUUCCAGUAAGUGGACUUUAAAAAUAGUAGACGUCUUCAUGCACAGCACUCGAAAGUGUGAUACUUUUUAGGUUUAUUUGACAAGUCGUUAAGGUGUGUCGAGAUUUUAAAUUGAGGUGAGGAAGUUGAGAUUCUUUGGUCUCUAAAAAACAUUUCUUAUUAUGUGCGUGCCUUGACAGCUUGGGAGCUGAAAGCAUUUUUACGUAGCUCUUAAAAUGCCUUAUAAAUCUUUGAAUUUUUGUCCUGUUUUGCUAGUAUCAAACAGAUAAACAGAAUGCAAGGAGUAUCGUGAGUAUAUGAGGAACAGCAUUUGGUGUGUAGAAGUGACCAAGCAAGGUCCUAAUUUUUUUUAAAAGUGUUGCGUUUUUAAAUUCAUUUCAGAAAAAUACACGAACUCUUAUGUAGACUUCAAACCUCAAACAGGUUUUUAAAAUGUCUCUUUUUUGAAAUUCACAUAGGCACGAUCCCUUCGCCAAAUUUGAAUUGAAGGUGCGCAGUCUAAGUAUUCGUACGGACUAUGCUAUGACUAAAAAACUCAGCGGGUACGUCCUACCUGUAGUUCUGGUGAAGUUUAGGAACUUUUUUCUCUUUCUUUUUAAACCACGUCAGUUACAAUCUCUAACUCCUGUGAAAAGAAACUACAUCAAGGGAUUUGAAAGCGUUGAAAGCAAAAUAAUGUUCCUGCAGGAGUUUGUCAGCUCCACCAAUCAAGAUCCAAACAAAGAUCUGCGAUAACAUACUCCAACAUUAACGAAGAAAAUGUACUUUGUGCUAUUCGUCGGAUUCUCUGUUAAAUUCAUUAAGAGUAGACUGAGACACCAUGUAGUCUCGGUAGAAAAUGAAAGGAUAAAAAAAUCAGUAUUAACUUUCUGGUAUGUUUACCCGAGGUAAAAAAAAAGUCUAAAAUGUCAAUCAAUGGUUCAAAGUUUAUUCAAGUCUGACUGUCUGCAGUAAAAUCCACCGUUAAUAGGAGUGUAUCGAAGAAAGAAGAGUGAGUCCGCUGUAUUACACAAGUAUGUCCCACAGUUUCAGCUAAUCAACCGGUUCAUCAAAUGAAAUCAGCUCGGCCCACUCACCCACAGCCCCGCCAAUAGGACGGGGGGGGGUAAUUCAUUUUCCAGACAACGGUGCAAGCACAACCAAGAGGCUGCCGAAGGAACGCAAUUACGACGAUCAUGCUGCGAAACUGAGACCAAUAAAAUAUAUUGCAACUGACAGUCAAAAAAGACGUAUACCAGUGGGGGAUAUUUUCAUGCUGAGGGGAAAGCAGAAGUUCUGAUAAAAGACCGGAAUGUGGAGGAAAACUCAUUCUCAACAUAUCGGCAACAUUGGCUGCGAAAUUCGACGCAAUCAAAUAUUAAACAUUGGAGCCAAUAGAGACUUGUUAUCCUUUGAAAAGUGAUUUCCCUCAAGCGCUCGCUCCUGGUAAGAAAAAAUGCUGAAAGACGGCACUGUUAAGAAUGCUUAAGGUAAAUUUGAAAAGCAAUCGGUGCUAAUUCAUUAAUGAAAGUGAGAUAAUGUGCACUGCGUUGAUUUGCUGGUUUACAAACAAAAUCCAUGAACUGUGCGUGGCCCCUUAGCUUUAUACUACAGUAGGAACUGACUCCGAUAUCAAAAUCUCAAAAGCUGAUAAACACUGCCAAAUGGGUUUAUGGAGUGAAUUCAAUGCGUUUCUCCCGUUUUCAAAACACUGCAAACAUCUAUAAAAUUCUGAAAAUCUGGUACUAAUCAGUUUUUAAAUCCCAAACGAUGCUUGGAAGCCGAACGUAUUCUUGUUGCUAACUCCUUCUGCCAAACGUUUGCUCUUAGAAAGGUGCCAUAAUUGUUUGACUUUUUUGCCCGAAACAUUUCUUGUUACUGUUUUGUUUUAUUUGGUAUCUUUUCAACGACAUUCGCUUACAUUCUUUUAUAAUUCUUCCCACAUUUGUUAUAGUGCAUUAUUAUGGCCAGAUGUUUUUAAUGUCAUUACGGACAAGAAUGCUUUUGGGCUGUUGAAAAAUUGAGCCGCUUAUUGAAACGUGGGUGGGUAAAACGUAGUGCUCUACCACGUUUUUGAUUAGAGUUGGUAAUGAAAGGUCACUGACCUUGAUAUUCGGAUGCAACCGCAUCAUCUUCAAAUUUGUAACGUUACGGUACAGAAGCAUGCCAACAUUUGGCGGCAGAAUUUCCCGUUUGGAUCUGGGCUGCUAUGUUUCCAGAUUGGGGCAUAUUGUUUAUGUUUUCUUAAUCUCAAAAAAUCCUGUUUUAUGAGAGAUGACGAAAAACUUUGUAACAAACUUGGAGACCGCAUGAUUAAACACCCGAGUCCCUCGAUGCUCCAAUUUAGAAACUAAAGUGAUCGGUAUGCAUGUAUUAUAUACAGUCGAUAUUCUUCAACAUGCAAGGUGGACACUUUUUAGCAAGAGGGAAGACGAAACAACCAAAGCCAAUGGGAAAACACACGUAGUUUUAUUUAUAUCACCAAUUGCAUGUUGUGACUGUUAUAUCGGUUUCGCUGUUCGUAGCAACAAAACAAUCAUUUUCAGAUUUUUGUUUUCAAUUAAGGGAUGGAGAUAAUCGUCUCCAACAGCAUGCUACCCAGAGGGCUGCAUAUGUUCAUUUUUGCUGAUUAAUUUCCCACGCUUCUUUAGGCACCACCGAUCAUGCAUACCUUCCAGCGUUAGCUAUAAACAUCUUAAUUUCCGCGAGGAGGUUCAGACACUUCCAAAACAUUUUCAGAAAACGUCUAAAUUCCUCAACGAUUUACAACAUCGGAAUUAAGUGGCAGCAUGAAUUUUGGAGCUCUAGGAGCCUUGGUCCUGGUUGUCACCUUUUUGAUUGCUGCAAAUGGCGAGCCGCUGGCUGACUCUGGGUACGAGCCCGUCCUCUACGAUGACCCCGUGAAGAAAAGGGCUGCAUUUUUCGAGGAUGGCUAUUUCAGCAAGAGGGGAACUGGCAUGAGAUUUCGAAGAUGUAUAAAUCCCGUGACCAGGGAGAAAUGCAGGUGCGACCGCUAUAGAAAGGGGCCCCAGUACAUUCACUGCCGUAAAUAGUAUACGCUGCCUUGCGAUUGCGUCUAAACAAUUCUUGAACAAUUUGAAGGUUCCACAUGCAGCCACUAGUUACGCUUCUUUAAUAGUGUUCUCCAUGUCUGUCAACACCUUAUAUGAAUGCCAUUCAUCAGACUUUAAUGAGAGAAGCCAUUAUGCACGCAACACACAGCUAGCUCCGCGCUAAUUUAGCAUAGAGGAAUAAAUAGUGUCCUUUACAAAGGCAAAGCAUUCGAGUUUCUCCCAAAAUGGUAUCAAAAUCGGAAAUCGCUUUUACAAUAUCUCCUUGGUGCCAAUUUUGAUGGCUAUUAAAAUAGUCAAAAGAUGAGAAAUAAUGGAUUUUGUCUGCUAGACAGUAUUUGUAGGUUUAUUAUAAGGGGUGCGAUAUUUAAGAUUGUGAUAUGGGUUUAUGGAGUGAAUUGAGUGCGUUUCUCCCGUUUUCAAAAAUCACGAAAAUCUAUAAAAUUCUGAAAAUUUGGCACUAAUCAGUUUUUAAAUCCCAAACGAUGCUUCAAGCGAAUUCUUUCCGCUCAGUGUUGUAGUCAAGACAUCGUAAGACCUUCCCAGACCCAACAAGACCGUCGCAAGACCAACACAAGACCCUAGUCUGAAUUCAAGUCGCAUAUUAAUGUGAACUGCAAAAAAAAACAAACACUCCUUUGUCAUUGUUUGCACAAAAACUUGUGACUGUCUUGUGAAUGGUCUUCUAAAAGGUCUUGCCAACCGUUCUUUGUAAAUACUCCGAUUAGAAGGAGGUUGCGCCUAAAACAAUCCAAUGAGACUUUGCCCUUGCAUUCAAGGCGUCAAUGAACUCAAUUAAGUCCUGGAGCAUGAUUGAAAAAUAAAAAAAGAACAUUUCUCUUCUCCUUGACGGGAAGGAAUCACAGGAAUUCAAUUGUGUAACCUCAUAUUAAGUAUUAAUUUGAAAGAAGACUUCAUAAGACAAGGAUACUGAAUAUUUUUUUCGCAGUCGGAAGGUGAUCCAAUUAUAAGUCAAGCUUUUGAUUGAUUACUUCCUUAAUGGUCUAAGAUCUUAGGAAACAUUCGUUUUCUUGUAAAUGUAUCGUCAUGAUGUAGUGCUUGAACUGAUGGCAUUUGGGGGAAAAUAAAGAAAAGAUACAUUUUUUUCUGAAAAUGAUUUUUAGGCAUGCGUUUGUUUUGGUUCUGAUAGCCCAAGACAGUGGACAUCUUCACCCGUAGCGCUAAUGAACUCAUCACUAAUAAAAUAUUGAUCUGCAACACUCUGUUGCCUAGCGUGAAGAGCAUGUCAGGGGAGACAGACUCGCAGCCCCCAUUUCCUGCCCCCUUGUUCUUAUCAACUGCCCGUUCCAAGCUUGUAAACUUUCUACAGAGCGCUUGGAGCGUAGGCGAAGAAGAUUACGCUUCGCACGAACUUUCCGUGGAUUCAAUAACCACCAGCCGGCAUUUGACACAGUGAAUUGAGGUCUGUGAAAAGGAUCUGAUGUACCUUACACUUACCAGUACAACACAAUAUCACUGCCAUAAUUCGAACUUACUACGGCAACUCAGCGGGUGGGGACGUCGGGAACUUUUGGGACGGGGGUUGUGUGAGAAAUCAACGACCAGCAGAGCUGUUACGCCAGGCCGCGUGCUCACGUCAAAUUAAUAUUUUCACCGCGGGCCUUAUUGUGAGGUUUGCGAUCGUCGCGGUACAGCGACGUUCGUUACUCAAGCGUGCACGUUACGAAAUGCAUAAAAAUCAUUGCGUUUUGAUACUGGAUAUUCACAACGCCUAGGAGAUCUUACAUAGCACACAUCUCUGUCUCUUGGAAAGCUGAAGGCAAGUUCGAGGUGUCUAGCAUGAGUCCCAAGUGUCUUCUAGCUCUGGCCCUUGUGGCGGCUCUGGUCGCUUUCGUCAGCCCGUUCUACAUCAACGAGGACUUGGACGACGACGACGACGAAGGAGGUGCCGUGGAGGAGCUGGAGGCGCAGGCCUUGCCGCUGUUGCUGCAGAAGAGGGGCAGGGGAUUUCGCUACCACCGCUGUGUUGACCCAGAGACCGGGAAACGCUGUAUUUGUGACAGGACCAAGACCAAAUAUCACAAUAUUCGUGGUGGUUGCAAGAACUAGACAGGAAUUUCCUUCUCGUGAACUCCUUCCUUCUUCAACGGCAGUGAAUACCAUUUUUUCUUCGCGGGUUCUUUGCCGCCUGUCGAGUGAUGCUUCAACUUGAGCAACUUUUACAGCCAAAGAUGAGAUAUCCAGGGGAAUGGGACCAGCGGAGGCCAAGUCCCCUCCAAGAGUGGCAAUCUGUACUGCAAUGAAUACGAGAGGGUUUUUUCAGUUGUUUUGUUUCCCUUCUUCCCCACAGUAUGCAAAAUACCAAAAGUUAAGCCUCACUUCUUACAAAGGCUAUAAAAUGCUUUCAUAAAGCAAUUCUUGAUCUCCGAACACCCUGCCCUUUCCUAAAAAAAAAUAAAUAAAUAAGUAAAAAAAAAACCACUAAAAAUUUGUUUGGAGAUGCCGCUCUUACCCAAAGUGCCCCGAUUAUGUACUAAUGUCGUACAACGAAAACAUAUAUAACGAGAUCCUGACUUUUCUUGAAUUCCGAAAGACCCUGAGUAUUAGUGGACAUUUUAGUUACAACCAAGGCACAUUGACAACCGUUUCUAGGACAGACAACCUUCUUGGUGUCUCCGACUGUACUGCGUCACUCGAAGACUUGUUCGUACAUUCCAAAAUAUCAGGCUGCAUGAAUAUUAAUGGCCAAAUUGUUUUGAAUGAAGAUAAAACAACCCUCGACUGAAAGCAAUCGAUAUUGACAUGACUUAAAUUCUUGAUUUUUUUGUCUCCUUUGUCAUGUUAAACAUUUGUUUUUGAGUGCAGUUCCUUAGUAAUAUUGGCAAAUGUUUAUGACUUAUUGAUUCUCUGGUAUAUUUUUGAAAUUUUGUAUAACUAGGAAUAUAGGGGAGAUUUUUGAAUAGCUCUCAGAAAUUUAGAAGAUUGCCAAGAAAACAGUCCAUCGCCGAAACACUUCUGUCAAACUUUAGAAUGUAUUCCUGUGAAAUGUGAUUUUUGAAGAUGGAAUGAUAACUGUUAACAUUAAAGCAUCGUAAUUCUCGAUUUAAAUUAAA